ACAUCAUAGAAAGUGUUAAUGCG
rnacentral:miRNA from 1 species